rnacentral:rRNA from 1 species
AAUCAACGCUGGCGGCGCGCUUAACACAUGCAAGUCGAACGAGAAAGUGGGGCAACCCAUGAGUACAGUGGCGUACGGGUGAGUAACACGUGGAUUAUCUACCUCUUAGCGGGGAAUAACUCUGGGAAACCGGAGCUAAUACCGCAUAAGCCUGGAAAGGGAAAGUGUCGUUCUUCAAAAAAUGACACGCUGAGAGAGGAGUCCGCGGCCGAUUAGCUAGUUGGCAGGGUAACAGCCACCAAGGCUUUGAUCGGUAGCCGGCCUGAGAGGGCACACGGCCACACUGGCACUGAAACACGGGCCAGACUCCUACGGGAGGCAGCAGUGGGGAAUCUUGCACAAUGGGGGCAACCCUGAUGCAGCGACGCCGCGUGAGCGAUGAAGCCCUUCGGGGUGUAAAGCUCUUUCGGCAGGAACGAUAAUGACGGUACCUGAAGAAGAAGCUGCGGC